rnacentral:lncRNA from 1 species
GGAACAUAUGGUAGCCACAUAUCUUAUAGCCUGAAUGGAGCCCUGGCACAGAGGAAAAAGAAUGUUUGAAGAAAGAAUUAUUUGAAUGUUUGAAUGUUUGAAAAAGAAUUAUUACACCUCCACAACAGGCCCCAUAGUAUUUGUGUCCUUGCAAAACAUAUUAUCUCUGUUCUGGGGUUCUAACAUCCCUCUUCAUGGUCAGAGAGAUACAUAUUUGUCUUGAAUCUGUGUCUUCAGAAGAUCUUCCCAGUACAUUGCUGUGUGAGUGUUGUGUCUGCAGCCCCAACUGCCUGCCCAAGGAAAAGCAGUGAUGACCGUGCAGGCGGAAGCACAGACCUUUAUAAGAGUAGCCAGGUCACUUCUUCAGAAGAUUCUUCACCCAUCCCCAAGCCCUGGUUGUUCUUCAUCCUUGGAGUUACAAGCCUGGAAGAAAUAGCCUUAUUUUAAUUAUUCAAUUUUGGAAAUUUCCACAGGCUAACUUUUAACCAGAAGAUCUUGAUCCUAAAAACUCUUAUCCAGAAUAAACUGUUCUGGCAUUAUCCAAUCUGAGUCUUUAUACUAUGUAAGGUCUCUAAGGGGCCCUUUCUGGACUAGCAGCAUCAUAAAUAGCAUAAAAAUAAUAAGGCCCAUGCAUGUAGAAGCAAUUCUGGGGAUUCUAAGAAGACAAAGUCCCUCAAGUCCCUUCCUACAUCCUUAGUGG